rnacentral:rRNA from 1 species
UACCAGCACCCCGAGUGGUCGGGACGUUUAUUGGGCCUAAAGCAUCCGUAGCCGGUUCUACAAGUCUUCCGUUAAAUCCAACUGCUUAACAGGUGGGCUGCGGAAGAUACUAUAGAGCUAGGAGGCGGGAGAGGCAAGAGGUACUCGAUGGGUAGGGGUAAAAUCCGUUGAUCCAUUGAAGACCACCAGUGGCGAAGGCGGCUUGCCAGAACGCGCUCGACGGUGAGGGAUGAAAGCUGGGGGAGCAAACCGG